GGGGGCAGCCGGCCCCGCUGCCGGCGGCCGCCGAGGCGGCGGGCGCUGCGGCCGCGGCUAGGGCGGGCGGCGGGCGCGCCCCCAUGCGGGUCCCGGGCUGGGGCGCGCCGGCGGCGGCAGGCGGGAGCCGGGCGGCGGCCGGGCGGUGCUCUCCCGCCGCCUGAGUGGGCGCGGCGCGGGACGGCGGCGCGGGGUGCCCGGAGCCAUGGGCUAUUGCAGCGGCCGGUGCACGCUGGUGGCGGUGUGCUGCGCGCAGCUGGUUUCUGUGCUCGAGAGGCAGAUAUUUGACUUCCUUGGUUAUCAGUGGGCACCCAUCCUGGCAAAUUUUAUACACAUUAUUAUAGUCAUACUUGGCUUAUUUGGAACCAUCCAGUAUAGACCUCGUUACAUAACAGGAUAUGCUGUUUGGCUGGUCCUUUGGGUUACAUGGAACGUGUUUGUUAUCUGCUUCUAUUUGGAGGCUGGGGACCUUUCAAAGGAAACAGAUCUCAUUCUGACCUUUAAUAUCUCAAUGCAUCGUUCUUGGUGGAUGGAGAAUGGGCCAGGCUGCACCGUGACCUCAGUAACCCCAGCCCCAGACUGGGCACCAGAGGAUCAUCGCUAUAUCACUGUCUCGGGGUGUCUUCUUGAAUAUCAGUACAUAGAAGUGGCUCACAGUUCUCUUCAGAUCUUCCUUGCACUGGCGGGCUUCAUCUAUGCCUGUUAUGUUGUGAAAUGUAUUACUGAAGAAGAGGACAGCUAUUGUUUUUAACUAUCUUCACAGUAAUUGGUUACCACUGAGGGUAUAGCUCUUCUCUGUUGACUUCUCUGUUGGCUCAUAAAGGCACUUCUGGAAAAAAAAAAUGCUUUAGAUCAUUGCAGGACCUUCAUUAUGAGAGGUGAAACUGCGGAGCUCCUCUUUGUUCCUGCUGCUCCCAAGUUGAUUUCAUAGGAGGAUUUGACUCUUACGGCUAUCAAGGUCCACAGAAGACAUCUCAUUUACAGCUACAGCCCAUGUAUAUGUCAAAGUAAACAUGGAGACUAUUCAACAUGGGCUGGAGGACCUGUCACAGAAACUUUCAGGAUGGUUCUUCAAAGAGCAAAAAAAAUCCACUUUUUGUGCUAAGAAAAAAAAAAAAAAAGGCUGAUUGAACAUUGAGAUAAAAAACAAUGGACACCAUCAGCCCCUCUUUCUAACAGCUACUAAGGGUGAUGCCCCAGACCCUCACCUUGGACCUCCAGCCUCCCAGCACCAGAGGGCCAGAGCAGAGCCGUUGGUGCCACCUUCUGGCUCUUCUCUGACCCAGCCACCGCCAGCACGGCCCAUCUGGAUUAAAAUAUGAACCCAGCCCAUUCGGUGCUUUUGGAGCCCCCUCUGCACUCCUGACCCCGUUGAGUCUCCUUAGUCAACACAACACUAAGAAUACCAGGAUGACCUUGCAGCAGAAGUCAAUAGACAGCACGUUGUUUGCCCUGAAGGUUGUACAGUUCAUACUUGCCUUAACCCAACUGCGUUGCACAUCAGAGAAACUCAGUGCAAGCUUUCUGAAGUAACGUCCUUUAGGCUCAACAUGCUGCUGCUAAUUCUGAACGAUUUCUAAGUCAGUGGUUCUCUUUAGUUUCGUUUUGUUUUGUUUUCAUGUCAGGGAAUAAGGCUCUGUUGCUCCACAGCUCCAGAGCAACCAAGUAGAAAACUGCCAGCUGUCUGAGAAGUGCUUUACUUUUGAGGCUGCACAGUGGUCAAGAAAUAAACAAUUUAUAAGAAUUAAAAAAAAAAAAAAAAAAAGACCUUUUGGGGAGUUGAAGUGGGGAGAAGGGGUAACCUAAACUAAUAAUUAAACCUACUGGAAAUAAGCAGCAGAAACAGUGCUUCUUAAUCACACUGUUUUUAUUUAAUGCACUGUAGGUGCUUUUAUAGCUAUCUCUAAACGUCUUUUACUAACUACAGAGACAUCUGCAGAUUUCUAUCAACAAAGGCCAACUGAAUAUGUAUUAGCUAUGUUUACUCUUUUGUAUCUACUUUCAACUGAAAAUUCUCUGUGAGCUUUUUUUUUUUCUAAUUGCACCAUAAGGGAUCCAUAUAUUUUAUUUUUUGGUUUCAGUUAGGGAGGGCAGGGAGGGACUAGCUGAGUUGAAGAAAUAUUGGAGACUUUUUUGUGGUAUAUUUGGGGGAUCUGUUGUGUGUUAGAAUGUGUAUUUUAUCUUCCUGUAUUAUUGUGGCUGAAAAAAAAAACUGUGCUGUUACGUAGUUGGCAACAAGAUGCCUUUGGGAAUAUUGCUAGUAGGUCAAUGUGUAUAUGAAAUACUCUGAAAUCCUAGGAAGAUAUGUUUUGUUCUACAUCUGAUCUGUUUUUUCAAGCACUUAGGUGGCUUUCAUCAGGAAAAAAAACAAUAUUUUGCUCAGGCUUUUCAGAAACUUGGAUUGUCAUUGUUUCUUUGCUCAGACCUUGCAUAGGCAAACACAAGCACCCACCACAUCUGAGGUGACCACGUAGCUUUUGAGGGCAAGAGGGAAGGUCAGUGCUUGGAAAGGCUCAUGCUGCCCCUGAGUGACUCCCUUUUCCUUGCUGGCCAAACCCAGGGACUAGCACAGCUCCCAAGCAACUAUGGCCUGUGCCCUCAUGCCACUCUUCCAUCCCUGUACAAACCAGUGCCCUUUGCUGUGUCUGCAUGGAUAUACAGUGUCACAAGCAACAACUCUGGACAAGGACAGAGGAACAGGCAUUCACCAAUGAAAACAAGAUUUGCGACAUGUUCAGGAACUAUAUUUGUAUUUAUUUAUUCAAUGAAAUUUAUAUAUAUAUAUAUAUGUAAGUGUGUGUGUGUGUGUAUGUCUAUGUAUAUAAAAUAGACAGGAAUAACUAUUGACAGGUGUUGCAUAACCUAGGAAUCAUCUGAUGCAGGGGGUCAAGAGUUCCCAGAUCCUGCUGGGGAUUUCCUGCGUGGAUUAGGCACAUCCCCUAGGCCUGAUCCCCUAAAGCGUUCAUUGCCCAUUUGUGUCUCAGAUCUAAAUUUUCAGACCUGAAAUCCUGAGUUCAUUAUGGGUAGAGCUGCUUUUCACCCCCUGGAAAAUCAUGCAGCUUCCAAGUACCAGGCUGAAAUUUCCCGUAACUUGAAAAAUUUUGAAAGUUUCUACUUUUAUGUAGUAUUAAAUACAGCAGAUGUAUAGUAUUAAAUGCAAUGUAGAGUUUUAAAUGGAAUGAAAAUGUCAUAACAGGGUAUUUUAGCUUUCCCUGUAUACCAGUUAAUCAAAAUCAUAUCUCUAUAAAAAUCUUUUUUUAAUGUGAAAAGGAACCAUUUUAGGCACCUAAGCAGCAAUCCAAUUUUCAGAAGAUAAUUUUUCAUACCUUUUGCUGAUUUCCCACGGAACAGCGGCUACUGGUAGUUAGCAAUUUUAGAAGUCAGACAAUUUAAUGAAGUGUCUAUAUGUAGCUUUUAGGCCUGAUUUGAAUUUAGAAAAUUUGGCCUUAAUUUCUCUGUGUCUUAGUCUUCCCAGCUAUAAAAUGGGAAUAAUAUGUGCCUCACAGGCUUUUUGUGAGGUCUGAUUUGUUAAUGUUUGUAAAGUGCUUAGGAAAUAGGAAACAUAUCUAACUAUUAAGGAUUACAAUAUAAAUGCGUGUUCAUAUAUUACAUAUAGACUAGAUAUACACACACUCACAUACACAUGGUAUACAUAUAUAUACACAUACAUACCUAUAUGAAGUCGGUAUCCAUAACCCUGCUUACGUUGCAAUUAGAGCACUACCAUUAAGAAUAAAUUAGGACUGUUGACUACUAAACUAAGUGAUUAGUGGACAGAUCUCUUCUGGAAGCAGUUUAGAGCACAGUAAUGUGAGAGUAUCUGGAUGACAUUUUUGAUUUGUACAGCUGUAUCCUCCUCAAAAUCCAGUAAAGAAUGUUAUUUUUCUAGGCUGGGCUUUUGUUAUAAACUUAAAUAUUCAGAAGGCAAGGGAUACAAUCCAAAUGUGUCUUUUUUUUUUUCUUUUCUUUUUGGCAUUUGUUAAUUCUGAAUGUAUUUUUAACAAAAGUGAUUUUUUUGACUUACUAGUGUAAUUUGCAUUUAAAAAAAAUAAAUGGAAAAAAUAUAGGUUUCCAAGCUAUUCAUGCCCCCCUGCUGCUGUUCACAACUUACGGAAACUUAGAAUUACUGUUCCCAGCUGAGCAACAAUGCAGGAUGAAGAAUCCUAUUACAUUUACAUGGUGACAAUGCUGAUCUGUGCCGUGCAUGGAUGUGACAGCGCUGAAUAGAAAUUGCCAGGUCAUGACAUCAUUUUAACUCUAUCAUAGAUAGCAGGUAUUUUGAUUAUCACUGACACUAAAAGGCUUCUUCUACAAGGCUGACUGCAACAGACUUUUCACUUAGAAAACAGGGGGGGUUUUGCCCACUCAUCAGGAAUUUUAAGUUUAUGAUGGGUUUACAGUUGCCAACAGUGUACAGUAUUGCAAAAGUAAUCCUUGUUAAGAGGGAGCUAUGUAAUGUGAAUAUUUCCACUGCAUUAAUUUUCUUUUAUAUGCUGUUUAUUGUUCCUUUGCUGAAAUGAUGAAAUCCUGUCAUAGGCAAUGUCUUUAUAGAGUUCACAUACAUUGACAGCUUGCCUGAGGUCAUUUAGUAAAGGCAGAGCAGAACACUACACAUUCCAAGAUACUUGGCCAUGCUCUCCUAACACUAUUGCUUAGCAAAAGAGUUCAUUAAUUAUCAUCGUUAGGAUUUUUUAUGCCAUAAUUAUAGCGCAAGUGAUACUUUUCAGUCAGGUAAGGAGAAACAAUUUGUGCUCCACUUGCUUAAAUUAAGUACUGGUUACAAUACUCAACUGCCAUACAGCAUUUUGACAAAGGCAGUGCAGUCUGUAUUGAUCCCUGGAUGUCUCCGGACAGAGGUGGCUAUUAACUCAGUGUCUGGAGGUUUUGAUCACUUGCAUUCUCACCCUCUGUUCGAGCAUACUGACAUCAGGCAAAGCAAAACUCCAUACACCAUGAAACCUUCCAGUUUGUAAUAUUUUUAUUUCCAGUCCUCUGUUUUCUUUUUCAAUGCAAUUACUCAUAGGAUGAGGAUUUUUAUCACAAAGGUGAAUAGCCCCAUGAAUAGUCUAUGUGUAUGUAUUGCUUGCUUUCUUUCUACUGAUGAGUCCCUUCAACACAGCUGAGACAAAAUUGAUAGGCUUUUCGAGUUUGUUUUCUAUCUAAUCCAAAUCUGGCUUCUUCCCAGAUUGUGUGGGUAGGUGACAGACACUAAAGGUAAGACAGGCUUUAUUGAAGAACCAAUGCAUAAUACUGCAGACAACACUGUGUUCACUGCUUCUUGGAGAAAGACGUAGACAGUUGUUAUGCUAAUCAGUCCACUCCAAGCUAUGUGGAAUAUUAAAGGUAAUUACCAUGCAUAAAAGAAACUGCCCUUUAGACUGCUGUUAUGCAUUCAUGCAUAGAAGUGGCACUACACAGAAGGAGUCAGUAAGAGGUGUUUCCUUCCUGUAGUCACUAAUAUGGUUGAGAAAUUUGAGAAAUUGUCUCUGGCUGGUCCCAUGUCCUGACAAGUCUCUCUGUUCAGACCUUCACCAAGAGGAGCAAUUGAAGCCAGUUGGAGUUGUGACCUUUGCAUAGCUGAGUUAGAAAGAAAGGUAUUGUACCAAAUGUGGAGUUUAAAGUAGCAUCAUACAUGCCUUUGUUGCACAUCUCUUUCCUUAUGUACAAAACAAGGAUCCUUUAAAACGCAUUCUUCCUUUAUCUCUCACAAACCAAGACAGAUAAUGUCUUUUACAAGCAUGUUCCAAAUCAUGCCAAGAUCACUCAAGACUUUUUUCAUCAGGUCCUGUCAAACACCAUCUUUUCUGCUCUCUUUUGAGUAGAAGACUUAGCUCUUGGGACUUCUAAAUGCCACAGUAUUAUUAUUUUAGAUAAACAGAAGCACUGUGAAACCUAAGAAUUUUUUAAAAAAUUGCUUACGAUCAUCUCCGAUUCAAAAUUAAAUCUCCUGUACAAAAGCCAGACUUCUGCAUUCACCAGUGGAAGAGGAUCUUUGCUGCCAUCUAUUACCCAACCACUUUCCUACCUUUGCCUUUGUCCUGCUCAGAAAUAGGUUAUAUAGAGCUAAACAUGAGCAAGCAUGUUCAUAUGCAGCUUGUGCUCUUCAACAGUCUUCUGCCACAUUGCUAUUUUAUGCAUAUUUUGCUUCUUUCUCCCUGUAACCAUAUUCUUGUCCCACUCUCUUCACCUCUGCCUGAAACUGACACCAGAUACCCUCCCCAAAUAACAUGCUGCUCUUUGUCACAUUCGUUGUUUCAAACUGUUCACAUGAUGAUGGUAAUGACAGUCAUGGAAGACGGUAUGCCUGCGGACAUGUGCAAAAGUGGAAGAAGGGGAAGCACAAAGGUUACAUAUGUUCUCUAAAAGCCCCAGACACAGAGAGACACUCAACAGAACGGUAAAGGUUGGCAGUGUUACAGAAGCUGUGAGGUACAGUGAGCCCUAGCAGAAACCAUUUUCAAUUGUGUGAUCACAUUUGCUAAAACUAGAAUUCAGUGAGUACAAAGAGUCAUGAAUAUGUGGAUCCACAAAAGGUAUAGGUGAACUAGAAGAAAUUUCAUAGAAAAUUAGUUUAUGGACACAUUGACUAAAUCAGAUUCACAUUUCAGUCUUUUUUAAUUUGUCUCAGAUUUUUUUUUCCUCUUGCAAACUUUUGGAUGGUUGGUUUCUGUGCGCGCAGCUACUCAGAAAGGAACUCUUCAUUCCUAGGAGAACAUGCAAGUACGUGCAAUUGUAUUGAUUCACAUGGGACUCUCAGUAUUCAUGCUUCUAUGUUCAUCUAUCCUAAAUGUUGGCUCAUUUCUCUGCACAUACACAUAUCUAUUGUCUGAGUAUAUUUUACGGUGGGGAUGCAAAACCAUACGCAGUCUCUCUUAUUUUCUAUUUAGCUUUUCCUACUUCUUCUCUAAAGAGACCCAAAGCGCUGAGUGUUUAUUUUUCAGAUGGGCAUUCUGUAAUUCUGUACAUAAAAACUGGAAUUUCUGACACAAGCAUGGCGCAAUCUGUGAACAAAGUAAACAAGACAGUCCUUUCUGCAAAGAGUUUAUAUGUUAAAUAAAGUACAUAAAUGAGACCAUUUCCAUUAAAAAAUGAUCUCACAGUCCCACUCUGCUGUUAAAUUUUGAUUAAUGAAAAAAGUGGGUGCCAAAAAGCUUCAGUAAAAGGAGAGAAGUGGGAAAAAAGGGAACUUGGAGUACAAUUGUAAGGUGAUAUGGUUAGUUUAAGCAUGUGCAUAUGAGAGCUGAGGAAAAGAAUGAGCCAAUUAUAUCUCCUAGAGUAUCGAAACAAUUUAUGAUAGCUCCAUAAAGAUGCAUUACAUGAUAUCCUACAUUUUUAAGGUAUCUAAAGCAGUAGCUAUGGAAGAAGAACAACAUCGAAGGGACUGCAAAUUGAUGCCAUCACAAAAGGUUGAUGGAUUGAUUCAAUGAAUAAGUAAGUCAUUUCUAAGAGUUCUUCAGGGAUUUAUUUACCAAACACUUAAAUUGUUUAUUUUGUUCUCUGGGGGGUAUGUGUACUGUUAUUUUUCUUCAUUAUUCUUCUUGUUUCAUUCAUCAAUUUUGACAAAUAUUUUCAUGCUGAUAUGUGGUAUGUUAUGCAUGUAAAUUGUCCACAUUUAGUGAUUUAAAGCAAUAUACUCAGAGCUUCCAAGAG